ACUCACAAACAAGAGGUUGCCUUCUGUCCAGCCCUAGUAUGAGGCUUGCUGUAGGCUGUUAUGUAAGGUGGAGAUGGUUUUGCUCAGACAAACUUUAUUACCAGCACCAAUGAGGGGAACCGAGAAUUCUGAGCCACUGUAGCUGACAUCACAGAACUCCAGCUGCUCUGUGGACUGUAUCCUUUUCUACCUCUGUCCUUAAAAGCUAUUGGAGCCCUUAUUAAAAAAAAAAAAAAAAAACUGCUGCUGUGUACUUAGAGAGCAACUCUUAUUUCGAGUGAUUCUUUUACCUGAUAAGGCAUUUGGAUAUUUAUUCCUCUAACUCGACUCCAAUCCCCCUAUCUUUUUCGUGUUUUCCCAGGUAAAGAGGAAAAAUCUCCAAUCCACUCCCAUCUGUUUGCCUCAUCCAGCAGAGCUUCCAGGCCACAGAAGGCUCAAGACUACAAUAUAAUUCCUGAGACUGCCAAGACCUUGGGUCUGUAUAACACGUGUGCCCAGUACCCAAGAAAGCCGGAAGAGGAUAUCAGAACCCCUGGACUGGCAUUACAGACAGUCCUUUUCCAUCACCUCAGUGCUGAGAACUGAACCUCAGUCCUCUGAAAGAGUAGCUAGUGCUCUUAACUGCUGAGACAUCUCUCCAGCCCCCAGAAGACCACGAGAGAAUGCCUACAAGUCACCAAGUGAAAGGCAUCUCUGCUCCUGGUUUGACACUUACAGUCUAGAAAGUUUCCAUGUGUGAUGAACAGGACCUCUGUCUCCCCUUGGGAGCUUAAGCGAGCUGUGGUAGACCACAAGAACCAAUGGAAAUACCUCAUCCUAUUUAUGCUGGAUCACAUUUCACCAUUUCUGACAGAUGCAGCUUUGGGGAAGAAUAUUAACGACCAUGGGGGACACAGUAGUUGUUUGGAGACACCCGCAAUAAAUAGCCAAGAACUAUUUC
ensembl:lincRNA D830026I12Rik RIKEN cDNA D830026I12 gene